GUUGCCACUCUGAAAUGCAGUACUGCUCUCUGCUGGCGACAGUGUGGUACAGCUCUUCAAAAACAGGGACGACUUGCAAGUCCUUUUCACACGGCUGGGAAAGACUGAGGCGUUGACUCUCAAAGUGAGGUGGGAGACAAAUCUAACAUGGAAUGAUUUUCCAACCACCACGCUCCCUCAGAAAACACCGCUUGGUGUCUUUGGCUUUGCAUUUAAACAGAGGCCACCAAAACCUUCCAUAAUGAAGUGUGGGUACAUAUCCAUCAAAUCCUUUAGGAUGAGAAAUGGAGCCUAAAAUAGAAGAUGUUCUCAACACUACUCUCCAGUAACCAGUGGUAUUAAGUAUUAGGGUUAAACUUCACCUUGGGGAGAAAAAAAGAAAAUGUUUAUGGACCUUUCUCAAAGCGCACUGGGAAACAUGAAACACGGCUCUGAUUUCAGGGGCUGGUAAAUGCAAGCAUAUUCCAGGUUU